AGGCCACUCUCUUCUGGCUGCUCGAAGCGGAAUUCGGUGCGAAAAGCAGCACUGAACUGCGAAUGCGAGACUUGCAGACCUAAAGAAUUAAGGGCUCUCUCAAAGUAGGGCCUCGGCAGCGCCCCAACUACAUGUCCCAGAAAGCCCUGCUCUCGGGUUCUCCUUCCGGCUACCUUCUCCUGACUUCCUGGCAGCCCGAGGCUACCCAGACCGGCACCGAAACUCCAAGGCAACUCUUCACUUGUCGGAGAUUCUGCGUGCGCGACCGAUUUCCGCACAUGCGCGUUCGAUGUCUGCAGCGCCCAGUCGACGCUGAAGUAGCGGCGCGGCUGGUCCGCUAGCGUUUGCGAUAGGGUGAAGUGUGGGCGACAGAGCCUGGAGCCCUUUGUCAGGGAACUGAACACACACACCUGCCCAGGAAUUGGAGAAGCUGGAGGAGUCUCUAGAGGAAGGUGGAGUGAUGGCAGACCCAGCUAUUCCUCACAUGAAGGAGAUACCAGUUUAAGAAAUGAGUAACUGCAUAAUGUUUGAAGAUUUGAAGGGGGUGGUGACAUAAGCAGAAAGGGUUAAAGAUUACUGCUGUAGAUCACUGUGGUGACUGAAGAAAGGGCCUUGCUACUCUGAAUGCCAGAAUCUGAAGCCUUCAAUCUUGAACAAGACUAGACAUCUGCCAAGAAGUCCUUGACCUAAAUGUGAAAGAACUGGAUUUGGAUAAUAUCCCUCCUCAAUAAUAAUGGGGGACUCCCCUGGUGGUCCAGCGACUAAGACUCCUUACUCCCAAUGCUGGGGUUCAGUCCCUGGUCAGAGAACUAGAUCUCACAACUAAGACCGUGUGCAGCCAAAUAAAUAAAAAUAAAUGUUUA